ACUUAUCUUUUUCUUCUGCCCAUCUUGGGUUCAUUGGCUGGCACCCCUGUAACAAAAGACAGAUUACAAAGAGAAAAGCAUGCAUACUUACUUAAAGUUUUAUGUAGCAAGGGGGCCUUCAUUAGGAAGUGAAGUUCAAUUAGUUAAACCUGAAUGUUUUGUAGUGAGGUGGAUGAAGAAUGGAGAGUUGUAGAAAAAUAUGAGAGAAGGAAAAUAAACAGUAUGAACUAAGAGUAAUAAGCUGGGGGAAAAGCAAGACCUGUUCAUUCAGAUUCCUCUUGGUGUCCCUCAUCUUGGAGACAAGGAUAUUCCUUUCCUCCAGGCAUAAGAAGGGCAUUUCUCAUAUGAGGGUCUUAGGACCUGCUUUGGGGGAGAAAGAAGGGGAAAGGUCAGAGAGACCUUCUUGCACAUGCUGUUUCUCAAUUUCCUUCAGCCUAAAAUAUUCAAUAUGCCAAGGUGCCGUAAGUUAGGGUAGCCUGUCCUGAACCCCUGAGGGACAUAGAGUGAGGAACAUAGAGUGAUUGCCAAUACGCCUGCUCCAAACUGAUUUGGAAAGUUGGGUCUUGCCGUGUAUCCCCUAAAACUGAUAGUCUCCUUGUAGAGAAGAGACAUUCAGCAUCUCUACCAUAAGAUGAAGUAAAAGUUUAUAAAUUGCUCCUUGCUCUCUUUUUUCCUGUAUGAACAAGACUUACCAAAAAUCCCUGAAUCUUUCUGGCUGGAUAUUUUUUGUUUGACAAAUUUUGGACCAAACUCACUCUUUCAUCCAAAUUUAUUAGCUUGCAAAACCCAGGCUACAUUCAUGAUGGAAAGAGCUUGAGGGCUCAAGGGCUUGAAGCCUUCAUGUCCUCACGCGUUAUUCUCAUCCUUCUAAGUCUGAGGCUACGUGCGGCAACAAUCCUGAGCUAGGAUAUUCAGAGGACCAUCCUUUCAUGCUACUGGAGAAAGUGACUUUCCCAAGUUUGUCAUUGCUGGGUCAUGAUAGCCAGCUUGGGCUUUUGCCCACACAACUGCUCAGUGCUUAUGCUUGGCUGCUUGCCCUCUUCUCCAUGGCUGUGAUCUGCCCAGCCAACACCCUGCUUAAUUUAGGCCCCACUGAAGUGAGA
rnacentral:lncRNA from 10 species